GACGUAGGGCGCGAGCGUUGUCCGGAUUUAUUGGGCGUAAAGAGCUCGUAGGCGGCUUGUCGCGUCGACUGUGAAAUCCCGCGGCUCAACUGCGGGUCUGCAGUCGAUACGGGCAGGCUAGAGUUCGGUAGGGGAGACUGGAAUUCCUGGUGUAGCGGUGAAAUGCGCAGAUAUCUGGAGGAACACCGGUGGCGAAGGCGGCAUCCUGGACCGAGAUUGACGCUGAGGAGCGAAAGCGUGGGGAGCGAACGAGGAU
rnacentral:rRNA from 1 species